CGAUGGGGAAGGCAGAUCUCUGGGCCGGAACGGCCGUGAGGAGCGAAAGCAGGGGAGCGAACAGGAUUAGAUACCCUGGUAGUCCAUGCCGUAAACGUGGGGAACUAGAUGUAGGGGCCCUUCCCCGGUUUUUGUGUUGCAGCUAACGCAUUAAGUUCCCCGCCCGGGGAGGACGGCCGCAAGGCCAAAACUCAAAGGAAAGGACGGGGGCCCGCACAAGCGGCGGAGCAUGCGGAUUAAUUCGAUGCAACGCGAAGAACCUUACCAAGGCUUGACAUAUACCGGAAACGUCCAGAGAUGGUCGCCCCGCAAGGUCGGUAUACAGGUGGUGCAUGGUUGUCGUCAGCUCGUGUCGUGAGAUGUUGGGUUAAGUCCCGCAACGAGCGCAACCCUCGUUCUAUGUUGCCAGCACGUUAUGGUGGGAACUCAUAGGAGACUGCCGGGGUCAACUCGGAGGAAGGUGGGGAUGACGUCAAAUCAUCAUGCCCCUUAUGUCUUGGGCUUCACGCAUGCUACAAUGGCCGAUACAAAGGGCUGCAAUACCGUAAGGUGGAGCGAAUCCCAAAAAGUCGGUCUCAGUUCGGAUUGAGGUCUGCAACUCGACCUCAUGAAGUCGGAGUCGCUAGUAAUCGCAGAUCAGCAACGCUGCGGUGAAUACGUUCCCGGGCCUUGUACACACCGCCCGUCAAGUCAUGAAAGUCGGUAACACCCGA
rnacentral:rRNA from 1 species